CCUUGUUGCUAAGGGCGGAGGCGCGGGAGGCUGUGGAUCUUGGAGGCCGCGGAUGCCCUCCGGCUCGGCGUCCUCUGUCGGCCUCAGCUUCCAGCCCGACCGGCCGGCCGGAGGGUAUGGAGCCCGAGGCGGGAGGAAAAGGCGCAGCUGGCGGGAGGGGAGAUGGGAGCCCUCGCUCUCUCUGAGCCGAAGCCGCUUACCUGGCCGAAGAGGGGAGCGGGUUUCCAGGGCCGGCCUUGCGCUGGGUGGCGUUACAUCCAGUCUUGGGCAAACACCCCUCCACCCACUCCUACCCCCGACCCCCAUCAAAAAUAAGCUUUGGCCAUACGCUUAGAGAGGGCGAGGGGCAUUUGUGAUCUGAACAGCCAGAAAGGAAAAACUGCGCACAGGUUGUCCCCCAAACUUGGGGCAACCUUGGGAGUUCUGACCUAGUACUGAUUCCCUGAAUGACUUUGGGCAAGACGCUCUUAUUCUCUGAGCCUCGGUUUCCCCUAUCUGUACCAUUAGUGGGUCAAAUCAGACCGUUUCCCACUUGCUUCUGGUUUUGUUUCUGUUUGAGCUUUGGUUUAGAUUCCUUGGUCUUCCAGAGUGUAGUUUAGAUGUGUGCAGAGGGAGAUGUGGGGAGAGGGAGGGGGAUAUGAAAUCGUCAUUUACAUGAACAGUGGACCAGGAGUCCAGCUGAAUAAGGUCCAGGAGCCCAGCUUCGCCCCGUGUGACCUUUAGCAACUCAUGACUCUGAGUACCAGUUUCUUCAUGGAAAAUGACAGGAGAAAUUGCCUUUCUCACAAAAACAGAAAACUCUGAAGAGAUUAGGAAGUGGCUGCCUGAACUAUUUUCCAAAGGAUAAACUUUACAAAAGUAUUGAAUACGGCAGCUCACCGAGAAGAUCCUACUGGUUUGGGAGUAAGUAAUUCUAAAGGUUUUCUUUUCCUUAGAAUGUCCCAUGAAUACACUUCAGAUGGGAAGUAUGGCUCUCAGAAGAUACCAGCUAAGAAUCCAAUCAGUUUUAAGCAGAGCCAAUCCAUUUAUAGCAUAUGCAGUUUCCAGUGACCUAGAUCUAUGGAUGACAUCUGUCCUUGGUUUGAUGACAGUGUUGAAAAAUGGGUUAGGUUGGCAGAUAGGAAGCCCUGCAACCUCUGUCUAACUACAAACAAUACAACAUUCCAAGGUUUUUGAAAACUAUCCUGAAAUUUUUCCUGUGGGCAUAUUUGUGUUACUUGAAAAACUGGAUUCCGCUCUUGGUGGGUGUCAAGCCAAAAGACACAACCAAGCCAAAGAGCUUGGAGAGAAGGAAGGAUUUAGUACUUGCAGCAAGCAAGGAGAACACCAGGGAUAUUUCCCCAAACAGUGUCUCUCCGAACAGCAAAACUGGGGAAGUUUUACGAUAAGGGUGCAUGCAUAUUUAUGAAGGGGCUCAGGUGGUGUAUGCAUAUUCAUGAGGGGCUUGAGCAGAGGA